rnacentral:rRNA from 1 species
CCUACGGGGUGCAGCAGUGGGGAAUAUUGGACAAUGGGCGAAAGCCUGAUCCAGCCAUGCCGCGUGUGUGAAGAAGGCCUUCGGGUUGUAAAGCACUUUCAGUGGGGAAGAAAGCCUUGGGGCUAAUACCCUCGAGGAAGGACAUCACCCACAGAAGAAGCACCGGCUAACUCCGUGCCAGCAGCCGCGGUAAUACGGAGGGUGCGAGCGUUAAUCGGAAUUACUGGGCGUAAAGCGCGCGUAGGCGGUCUGAUAAGCCGGUUGUGAAAGCCCCGGGCUCAACCUGGGAACGGCAUCCGGAGCUGUCAGGCUAGAGUGCAGGAGAGGAAGGUAGAAUUCCCGGUGUAGCGGUGAAAUGCGUAGAGAUCGGGAGGAAUACCAGUGGCGAAGGCGGCCUUCUGGACUGACACUGACGCUGAGGUGCGAAAGCGCGGGUAGCAAACAGGAUAGAUACCCGGGUAGUC